GACGGAGGAUGCAAGUGUUAUCCGGAAUCACUGGGCGUAAAGCGUCUGUAGGUGGUUUAAAAAGUCCACUGUUAAAGAUUGAAGCUUAACUUCAAAAAUGCCGUGGAAACUUUUAAACUUGAGUAUGAUAGGGGUAGAGGGAAUUUCCAGUGGAGCGGUGAAAUGCGUAGAUAUUGGAAAGACCACCAAUGGCGAAGGCAACUCUACUGGGCCAUUACUGACACUGAGAGACAAAGCUAGGGGAGCAAAUGGG
rnacentral:rRNA from 1 species